rnacentral:lncRNA from 10 species
UGACAGAUGAGUUACACUGCUUGAAAACAGGCAUAGAGCUAGGCACGGUGGCUCAUGCCUGUAAUCCCAGCACUUUGGGAGGCCGAGGAUUACAGGCAUGAGCCACCACACCGGGCUGGCAACUGCCUUUUCUAACACAAAGCAUUUCCUUGAAGCUCUUAGAAAGACUCAGACGUGCUUACAGUUGAAGAAGCACAUUCACAUCCUUUCCUUUAUCUGAGCAUCCCAGAGAUCCUUUGAUAUAAGUAGGAGCCCUGUUUUACAGAAAGGUGGAGUGGUUUUCCCAAGGUCACACAGUAAGACAGAAAUGAAGAUGUAGAUGUAGAUUGUCUGACUCUGAGCUCAGUGUGCUGCCCACUCACACCUGACAACUGCCUACCAUCCAGCCAGGGGGCACAGUGGCACUGUCUGCCUGAGGACUUUAGACCACCAGCUGCUGAAGGAAGCACCAAGAACCUGGUGGCCCUCUUUUCUGAGCUGUGCUUUCUCUGGGAAGGAGGUGCUUUCUCUGGUACCUCAGAACAAGGAAUCCCUUCUUCCUGCGGACAGAGCACCAGGGAAGCUCCAAGAGACAGACUUGUCCACAACCAGCAGUGGCAGAGGGGCCAGGCUGGGUGGUACUGCAUUCUUGCUUUCCUGCCCUGAGCCUCUCCCUGCCCUAGUUCCUCCUGGGUACUUCGAGAAACCACCUCACAGCAGGAUAAAUGUAGGUCAGGCCCACUAUACGUAUAGCACAGUCCACAGUUCCUUGCCCAGCCUCUCCAUGUAUCUGUCCCAUCAGCCCAUGUAGGCCUAAAAGCGACCCCUAUCCUGCCA